AGUGAACGCUGGCGGUAGGCCUAACACAUGCAAGUCGAACGGCAGCACAGUAAGAGCUUGCUCUUACGGGUGGCGAGUGGCGGACGGGUGAGGAAUACAUCGGAAUCUACUUUUUCGUGGGGGAUAACGUAGGGAAACUUACGCUAAUACCGCAUACGACCUACGGGUGAAAGCAGGGGAGCUUCGGACCUUGCGCGAUUGAAUGAGCCGAUGUCGGAUUAGCUAGUUGGCGGGGUAAAGGCCCACCAAGGCGACGAUCCGUAGCUGGUCUGAGAGGAUGAUCAGCCACACUGGAACUGAGACACGGUCCAGACUCCUACGGGAGGCAGCAGUGGGGAAUAUUGGACAAUGGGCGCAAGUCUGAUCCAGCCGUACCGCGUGGGUGAAGAAGGCCUUCGGGUUGUAAAGCCCUUUUGUUGGGAAAGAAAAGCAGCAGGUUAAUACCCCGCUGUUCUGACGGUACCCAAAGAAUAAGCACCGGCUAACUUCGUG
rnacentral:rRNA from 1 species